rnacentral:rRNA from 1 species
UACGUAGGGUGCGAGCGUUAAUCGGAAUUACUGGGCGUAAAGCGUGCGCAGGCGGUUCGUUGUGUCGGCGGUGAAAGCCCCGGGCUCAACCUGGGAAUGGCCGUUGAAACUGGCGAACUGGAGUGUGGCAGAGGGGGGUGGAAUUCCGCGUGUAGCAGUGAAAUGCGUAGAGAUCCGGAAGAACACCGGUGGCGAAGGCGGCCUGCUGGGCAGUAGCUGACGCUGAGGCGCGACAGCGUGGGGAGCAAACAGG